UGCCGGGACGUAGAAUGGGUCAACCGGACUUCCAUACCAUGACAUACCGUACCAUAUCACAUCAUAUCAUAUGAGGACUAAAGGAUCAUUCAAUAACCAAUCCACAUCAACAUCAUAGAAUGCAAUGCAACAUAUUCGUGUAUUCUAAUGCAAACAACCUAAAUCAUCACAUGGCAUUCAUGAUGCAUGAGCAUGCUCAAAACUUUAUAAUUUAUUUG
rnacentral:lncRNA from 1 species